GGUAGGAUUGCUGUGUCAUAUGGUAAGUGUAUGUUCAACUUUAUAAGAAACUACCAAACUAUUUUUCAGAGUGGCUGUACCAUUUUGCAUUCCCACCAGCAAA
rnacentral:pre_miRNA from 1 species